UUUUGGGUACUUGCGAUAGCUCCAUUGAUAUCUAUUGUUCUUUGCACCUUUUUCAUUUGUAUAACACAUGCAGAAAAGAAAGGAGUUCAAAUUAUGAAAAACAUUGAGAAAGAAAUCAUGCUCUCAUAUGCUAAUCAAAUUUAUUUAGUGGUGAAUAUCUUUUUUAAGGUUUGAGGAUUGGUCAAUUUAAUAGAAAGUUAUGAUCAAUGUGAGAACUUUUGCUUCAAUGAACGACUAUCAAUUAAAUCGAAACAAAGAAAUGGUGGCACUAUGAGCAAUGAAUGUUGUUGGUUGAAUGACUUUUUGCUAUGUGUAUAUAGGUGAGAAGUGAGA